UACGUAGGGUGCAAGCGUUGUCCGGAAUUAUUGGGUUUAAAGGGUGCGUAGGCGGUCAUGUAAGUCAGUGCUGAAAUAUCCCGGCUUAACCGGGAGGGUGGCAUUGAUACUGUAUGACUUGAGUAAAGUUGAGGUUGGCGGAAUUGACGGUGUAGCGGUGAAAUGCUUAGAUAUCGUCAAGAACACCUAUUGCGAAGGCAGCUAACUAAGCUUUAACUGACGCUGAGGCACGAAAGUGUGGGGAUCAAACAGG
rnacentral:rRNA from 1 species